CCCUUAGAUGUCCUGGGCUGCACGCGCGCUACACUGAUGUGUCCAGUAAGCACCUAACCUCUUCCGAAAGGAACGGGUAACCUUUGCAAAGCACAUCGUGAUGGGGAUAGAUUAUUGCAAUUAUUAGUCUUGAACGAGGAAUUCCUAGUAAGUACAAGUCAUCAGCUUGUGUUGAUUACGUCCCUGCCCUUUGUACACACCGCCCGUCGCUCCUACCGAUUGAAUGUUCCGGUGAGCUCUUCGGACUGCGCGGUCUGCAGUUUCUGCGUUCCGUGCGGAAAGUUGCGCAAACCUUAACAUUUAGAGGAAGGAGAAGUCGUAACA
rnacentral:rRNA from 1 species